UCGAGGCUUGAGGAUGCACUUGUCCGCUAGAAGUGCGUUCGUUGGUUGCGUUUGAAAAGUUAACCUCAACUAGUUGGAUUAUAAAACCCAAAAAAAUAAUACGCACUGUUUCGUAAGUAGUUAUGUAUUUUACUGUCACCACACAGGAUUCAAAAGAGUUACCCCCUCAAAUAAUAAAAAAGGAAAAUCAAAAAAUUCGGAUUGCAAAACAACUAUUAAAAUACAUAUGUAUUAAAAUAACAACGAAAAACAGUAUCAAAAAGAAUAAAUUUGUUAAGGAUGGAAUGCCAGCCAUAAUUGUUUUUACUAUAAUCACAACCAUAAUUUGAAUUCCGCCGAAGCACUUUCAUAUUUGCACCCCUGUAAGGAUAUAUGAAAACAGUUUGAGGAAUAUUUUGAAUGUGGCUCUGGCAUACAAGAAGCAAUGAACUACCACGAAUCAAAACUUGAAUUAAAAUAUGGACCAGAAAGUGCAGAACUAGCUAAUUCUCAAAUUAAUCCCAAAUAUCGAUCAGUGCAGUUUUGGUUUGAAGAAUGGAGAACCAAAAAUUUAGGACCGCGUUCAGGUGAUGGUGUUGUACAAGCAAAUUCCAUACCAAUAAAAUAAAAUAGAAUGUAAAAAAUAUUUUGAACAUUUGUUUUAUGUCCUAUUGA